UACGGGGGGGGCAAGCGUUGUUCGGAAUUACUGGGCGUAAAGGGCUCGUAGGCGGCCAACUAAGUCAGACGUGAAAUCCCCAGGCUCAACCUGGGAACUGCGUCUGAUACUGGAUGGCUUGAAUCCGGGAGAGGGAUGCAGAAUUCCAGGUGUAGCGGUGAAAUGCGUAGAUAUCAGGAGGAACACCGGUGGCGAAGGCGGGUCUCUGGGCCGUAACUGACGCUGAGACGCGAAAGCGUGGGGAGCAAACAGG
rnacentral:rRNA from 1 species